CAUGCAUGUCUAAGUAUAAGCAAUUAUACAGCGAAACUGCGAAUGGCUCAUUAUAUAAGUUAUCGUUUAUUUGAUAGCACCUUACUACUUGGAUAACCGUGGUAAUUCUAGAGCUAAUACAUGCUAAAAAUCCCGACUUCGGAAGGGAUGUAUUUAUUAGAUUAAAGACCAAUGCCUUUCGGCUUUUUGGUGAUUCAUGAUAACUUCUCGAAUCGCAUGGCCUUGCGCCGGCGAUGGUUCAUUCAAAUUUCUUCCCUAUCAACUUUCGAUGCGAAGGUCUUGUCUUCGCAUGGUUACAACGGGUAACGGAGGGUUAGGGCUCGACCCCGGAGAGGGAGCCUGAGAAAUGGCUACCACUUUUAAGGAAGGCAGCAGGCGCGCAAAUUACCCAAUCCCGACACGGGGAGGUAGUGACAAUAAAUACUGAUACAGGGCUCUUAUGGGUCUUGUAAUCGGAAUGAGUACAAUUUAAAUCCCUUAACGAGGAACAAUUGGAGGGCAAGUCUGGUGCCAGCAGCCGCGGUAAUUCCAGCUCCAAUAGCGUAUAUUAAAGUUGUUGUGGUUAAAAAGCUCGUAGUUGAACCUUGGGCCUGGCUGGCCGGUCCCCCUCACCGGGUGCACUGGUCCGGCCGGGUCUUUCCCUCUAUGGAACCUCAUGCUCUUUACUGAGUGUGACGGGGAAAUAGGACUUUUACUUUGAAAAAAUUAGAGUGCUCCAGGCAGGCCUAUGCUCGAAUAGUACAGCAUGGAAUAAUAGAAUAGGACGUGUGGUUCUAUUUUGUUGGUUUCUAGGACCGCCGUAAUGAUUAAUAGGGACAGUCGGGGGCAUCAGUAUUCAGCUGUCAGAGGUGAAAUUCUUGGAUCUGCUGAAGACUAACUACUGCGAAAGCAUUUGCCAAGGAUGUUUUCAUUGAUAAGGAACGAAAGUUAGGGGAUCGAAGACGAUCAGAUACCGUCGUAGUCUUAACCAUAAACUAUGCCGACUAGGGAUCGGACGAUGUUAUUUUUUUGACUCGUUCGGCACCUUUCGAGAAAUCAAAGUGCUUGGGCUCCAGGGGGAGUAUGGUCGCAAGGCUGAAACUUAAAGAAAUUGACGGAAGGGCACCACCAGGGGUGGAGCCUGCGGCUUAAUUUGACUCAACACGGGGAAACUCACCAGGUCCAGACACAGUGAGGAUUGACAGAUUGAGAGCUCUUUCUUGAUUCUGUGGGUGGUGGUGCAUGGCCGUUCUUAGUUGGUGGAGUGAUUUGUCUGCUUAAUUGCGAUAACGAAC
rnacentral:rRNA from 1 species